rnacentral:lncRNA from 10 species
CCCUGUCUCCAGUGGGCGUCUUGGGCCCCGGCUCUAUUCUGGGCUGCGGGCCUGGGAAGGGCUCGCCGGGUGCCAAAUGAGCUGUCCUAACUCUGCGGGGCUGCAGCUUCCUGCAUGAUGCUGGGGAGCUUGGCGCCUGACCCAGGAUCUAGAAGGCACUCUGGGCAGGCCGCGCUCCGCCCACGAAGGUACCCAACCCUCUGGGAUAGAUGCAGGAAGCGAUGGUUAAGACCCAUUUUCACCCAACUUCUCGCCGCAGGUCUGGCUUACCACACGCUCCUCCCCAUUCCCAGUGAGCCGCUUUUUGCAGCACCAGGCGAACACUUACACCAGUGCUUUGUAAAGGAAUCUUAUUGUCCACCCCGUGUCUUGGCAAAAGAACAGUGAUCACACAGAUUCCUACUUGGGCUCUUUCCUUUAAUCUUCGGAGGCUGAGUUUGCCCAACUCAGGUUUAACCACCAAGGACUCUGAGAGCUGGCAGGUCUGAGUAACCCUGGUAACAAUUCUCUUCACCUUAUCAAAACCUGAGCUAAAACCAAUGCAUCAGCUGAUGAUGACAGCAGAGAGUGGCAGGGCUGAGGACCCAAAGUCAUUUCCCAGGCUGGCGGAGAAUAAACUGCCAGGGAGAAGAAUGAGAAGACAGGAGACAAACUGUUUGGAAAGCUAAAUCUUCCCUCUUAAUGAAUAAAGGUUUUUGCCUUGUCUUAAA